ACUCGAGUGGCGAACGGGUGAGUAACACGUGGGUGAUCUGCCCUGCACUUCGGGAUAGGCUUGGGAAACUGGGUCUAAUACCGGAUAGGAGCCAUCUUUAGUGUGGUGGUUGGAAAGUUUUUCGGUGUAGGAUGAGCUCGCGGCCUAUCAGCUUGUUGGUGGGGUAAUGGCCUACCAAGGCGGCGACGGGUAGCCGGCCUGAGAGGGUGUACGGCCACAUUGGGACUGAGAUACGGCCCAG
rnacentral:rRNA from 1 species